GAGGGCAGUCCCAUGUUUCCCCAAAUCUCAUUUUGUAUGUCAUCUCCACCAGUCAUGUUUUUGAUUUACCUCACCAUUUUGGCACUUCUUACAGAAAGUGUUUUUGCAAAUGCAAUUACACCCCUAUAUGCUGAAAUGCAUGCUUUAGAAGGAGGAAAGACAACUCUUUCCUGCAACUACGAUGGAAGUAAUAUAAGGAGUUUUCAGUGGUACAGACAGUAUCCCAACACUGCCCCAGAAUUUCUCUUGCAAGCUUUUGAAAAUCUGGGUCCAGAGGAGAAUGACCGUCAUGUCGCUGAAGCGGUAAAGGACAAAAAACAACUGGACCUGGAGAUCUCCAAAACUGAAAUAGCAGACUCUGCAAUAUACUACUGUGCCCUGGUGCCCACAGUGACAGGAAACCUUUCUACACUGUACAAAAACACGAGAUGAUGAAAAAUACAUGAAUAACAU